GACGAACGCUGGCGGCGUGCUUAACACAUGCAAGUCGAACGGAAAGGCCCUGCUUUUGUGGGGUGCUCGAUUGGCGAACGGGUGAGUAACACGUGAGUAACCUGCCCUUGACUUUGGGAUAACUUCAGGAAACUGGGGCUAAUACCGGAUAGGAGCUCCUGCUGCAUGGUGGGGGUUGGAAAGUUUCGGCGGUUGGGGAUGGACUCGCGGCUUAUCAGCUUGUUGGUGGGGUAGUGGCUUACCAAGGCUUUGACGGGUAGCCGGCCUGAGAGGGUGACCGGCCACAUUGGGACUGAGAUACGGACCAGACUCCUACGGGAGGCAGCAGUGGGGAAUAUUGCACAAUGGGCGGAAGCCUGAUGCAGCAACGCCGCGUGCGGGAUGACGGCCUUCGGGUUGUAAACCGCUUUCGCCUGUGACGAAGCGUGAGUGACGGUAAUGGGUAAAGAAGCACCGGCUAACUACGUG
rnacentral:rRNA from 1 species